UAGGGAAUAUUGGACAAUGGGUGAGAGCCUGAUCCAGCCAUGCCGCGUGCAGGAAGAAGGCGUUAUGCGUUGUAAACUGCUUUUUGCCAGGGGAUAAAAAGACCGUGCGCGGUUAAUUGAAGGUACCUGGUGAAUAAGCCACGGCUAACUACGUGCCAGCAGCCGCGGUAAUACGUAGGUGGCAAGCGUUGUCCGGAUUUAUUGGGUUUAAAGGGUGCGUAGGUGGCCCUGUAAGUCAGUGGUGAAAUAUCUCAGCUUAACUGAGAGGGUGCCAUUGAUACUGCAGGGCUUGAGUACAGAUGAGGUAGGCGGAAUUGACGGUGUAGCGGUGAAAUGCAUAGAUAUCGUCAAGAACACCGAUAGCGAAGGCAGCUUACCAAGCUGUAACUAACACUGAGGCACGAAAGUGUGGGGAUCAAACAGGAUUAGAUACCCCCGUAGUCCCUGAGCGGGCUGGCAAGGCGCAU
rnacentral:rRNA from 1 species